rnacentral:lncRNA from 1 species
CUGGUGCUAGCCAGGAAGGGCCAGUACCACGCCAACAAAUCACAGGGAAGACAAGGGAAGUGGGGUGGGGGUGGGGGGUGGGAGUUAGUUUAACAGGAAACAGGAUCCUGCUUCCUCUCCCAAUCAACACUGCCAGCAUUCUGGGACUGCCCAAAUGAACCAACUGUCCACUCGGCUGUCCUCAAGCAGGCUUGCACUCUCUGCAGCAGAGCAUCGGUCACUCGGUCAUCACAGGGAGAAACUUGUCCGCAUUAUUAGAUGGUCAUCUAAUAACAUAAUAUACCUCUCCCCAAACUGAGUGCUGAGAGUGCCCUGAAUAAGAGGGAUUACCUUUUGUUCAAC